UCCUCUAAAAAUCAGAAUACUCACAGAGAAAACCUCCCAGAUGCUCUGGAAGAACAGUGGCCAAGCAAAAUUCUCCCAGAGGGGAGAGUCUGCCACAGCCCUUCUGGCUGGCCAGGAACUUUUGAAAUGCAGAGGAGCCUUUGGAAUAAAGCCUUGAGCAUGAGGGGCAGACCCCUGCAUCCAAACACCACCUGACUCUGUGUGAACCAGGAGCUGUUAGAAUGUCUGUGCUAUGUUAAAGGUCAUCUGCCUACAAUUUAAUGAUACAGACCUCAAACUUAUAAACAUGAGGGACUUCUGCCUCUAGGUUAACUGGUUUCCCACGGUACAGGACACAGUACCCACAGUCCAGGAGGCGGGGCUUCUGAGAUACCUAGAAACAGCUUAGAGGCAAAAUGGCAAAACAAAGCAGCACCAACAAAUAAAACCAAGCUUCUCAAACUGGC